AGAAUCAACGCUGGCGGCGUGCCUAACACAUGCAAGUCGAACGCGGUUAUUUCAGCUCCGCAAGGCGUUGGGAUAACUGAGUGGCGAACGGGUGAGUAACACGUGGGUGAUCUACCUUCGAGUGGGGGAUAACGUUCCGAAAGGAACGCUAAUACCGCAUGACGUUCUGGGUUUGAAGACCUGGAAACCAAAGCCGGGGACCGCAAGGCCUGGCGCUUGGAGAGGAGCCCGCGUCCGAUUAGCUAGUUGGCGGGGUAACGGCCCACCAAGGCGACGAUCGGUA
rnacentral:rRNA from 2 species